UACAGAGGGGGCAAGCGUUGUUCGGAAUUACUGGGCGUAAAGGGCGCGUAGGCGGCCUUCUAAGUCGAACGUGAAAUCCCUGGGCUCAACCCCAGGAACUGCGUCCGAUACUGGAAGGCUUGAAUCCGGGAGAGGGACGUGGAAUUCCAGGUGUAGCGGUGAAAUGCGUAGAUAUCUGGAGGAACACCGGUGGCGAAGGCGACGUCCUGGACCGGCAUUGACGCUGAGGCGCGAAAAGCCAGGGGAGCAAACGGGG
rnacentral:rRNA from 1 species